rnacentral:lncRNA from 1 species
GACCACCUUGCUAUUGAUGAACAGCAAAGAACAACCUUUCCCCGGGAAGGGAUAGUAAAUCUUUUUCAACAAUGACACAAUCCACUGAAAACACCGAGACUGAAAAUACUCUUGUACGGCGACAGGAUUGCACAUGGACUCCCGUUGAGAUCCCCCUUUUUCUAGGUCCAACUGAGAGGCUUCGCCCCGUAAUGAACUACAGUUCUUCAGCACUCAUAGCACUGGCUGCAUCGCAUUCUGCCCCG